AGAGCAGUAAAGGCAGGCGGACAGCAUGAAGAACCAUUUUUCACAACAGACAAUGAACGACUCUUCUGACUGGAACUAGAUUUCGUCUGUUAUCUAGAAGACCUCCAGAUGCAAGGCGGCAGAUCAAGUCUAAUGACCAAAGAAACCUACAAAGCGACACUGCUCACAACAUUGAUCAACAGUGGCACUGAUUGAAUUUCUCCUUGACCAUGUGAAGUAGGUCAUAUUAUUUCUUGUCUCAGUUUUCAGCUGUUUACAUCAAUGUGUUUUACAGGUUACUUUUCUAAUUGCAGUUACCGCUACGUCUUGACACGCGGUCUAAACAGCGACCCUGUGGAAUCAGUGCUUUCGCUGUUUUUGGCAGUUUAACGGCGGCAACGAUAAGGUGGAUACCAGGACUGCACCUUUCACAGCGAAGAAACUGCUGAAGGUUGGCAUUCUUCAAGCCGCAAGGAAUGGAAAUGCGCCCACUUCUUAUGAAAUGAAGGCACCACUGAGGUUGGCCAUUUCACAUGCUCAGACAUGUACCCUGCCAGCUGCCAUUGAACUGGCUAUCAGGGAGCUUUCCAGUGAGCUGGAAUUUCAAACGCUAUGGUCUGAUGCAGAAGCAGAUCUUGAACUAGCGUCAGUAGCUUUUCUGGCUGGGUACAUUGUACGAGCUUGUGAAGAAAAGGUGCCAGGCGAAUUGUGCAAGACCCUACUGGAAGCACUAGAACCAACCGGGCCACUCUACGGACUGAUAGCAAAUAUAGACAAUGGAGGCUUGACAUACCCUAAAAUGGAAGUUGUUAAGCGUUGCCAGAUGACUUGCAUCUUUGUUCAGUGAGUCAUGAAAGCAUGAGAUUCGAAAAAGCAGCAAUCUGUGCCACCUGUUGAUGUCGGCAUUACUGCCACAUUCCACACAGUGUCGGCAGUUAAUGUGGGAGAAAGGACCAUGUUCACACUGAGGAACAUUACAAAAUAUUCUUGAGGGUGUUGCAUGAAUAUCUCUCAAGAAAGGUUCUCCGUUUCUGAGUACCUGUGAAUAUAUUCUUCCUUGCUUAUGACAGUGCAAUAAAAGUAUCAAGCUGCUGGCUGAAGUGCUGGCUGCACUUUUCUUGGCUGCAGCUGCACUUGUAAACUUCCGACAACU